ACUUUGAGGGUGCUAUUUUCCUUUUGUUUCUUUCUUUCUUUUUCUUUCUUUUGAUUUGGGUUUCUUUUGAUUUUGCACCCUCCUCUUUCUUUUUUCUUUUUUUCUUUUUUUCUUUUUUUUUCUUCUUUUUUUUUUAAUGCCCCGGUUGGUUGUUCUGCUGAUUCUCGAGAUGCAGCUGAGUGAUCUUCUUUUCUUGCUCAAGAAGUCGGGAA
rnacentral:lncRNA from 1 species